GGUAGGAUUCCUGAAAAUAGAGGGUUCCAUCUUUUUCAGUGUCCAGCUCCCAUGGAGGCAGGUUGGGGAAGUAAAUGUGCCUAUAUAUCUUUGUGAAUAUUCCCUGAGUCUCUCAGCAAAAAGACAAAGGCAGCUUUGGUGCUCGGGAAGCACAGAGAGCAGUUUGAUUUGUAGAUUCUGGGGGAUUGGAUGUCCUCAGGUAUUGGUUCUCCAUUAAUGUACUUAGCGUUCAGCUCUUAAUGAGAAAUGAUAAUCACAAAAGAUACCCAGCAAUGAAAGAGCUUGCUCCAAGAUUCUGAGAUAGCAGCCAGUGCCUGUGGAUGUGCUGCCCUUUGCUGGCUGCUGUGGUGGUAAUGUCAGCCAAGGGAUGUCAAAGUUCAAUUUCCAGGGGAAAUAAAGAUUUUACUGGAAAGUAGAGUGUGCCUUCCUUAAUAAGGAAGCAGCAUUGGAUCUCAACCGUAUAUUCCAUCAUUGCUCUCCGUGUGCUGAUGUACCCUUUUUUAUAAAAGCCAACAACCCUCACUGGAUCGAUAAGUCCUGAUCAAUUGUUUUUCUCGCUGAAUUAUCCAUAUGGGGUCGUUAGCUGAGCUGCUGGCAGAAAGUGAGAGAGAGCGUUCAGCCUGUUUACUGUAAAGAGAGCGAAGCAAGCAACCAGGAGGGGACAGGCAGCAGGAUAUUUACUGUCAAUACAGCCGGAGAGAGAGAAGAGAUAUAAGGAGAAAGGAGCCGAGGCUGAAGACCGCAACUCAAAUGAAUGAUCAGAGCGUAAAAAUACCCAUGCGGUUUCCGAUGGAAAGUGGGUGGAUUGAAGACAACAAGGGAUAACUGAGAGUGUUUAACAAAUGGUUUAGUGAAGGGUUAGAGAGACAGGGAAGUACUUGUGGUGCACAGAAUGAUAGCGCUGUGCAUGAGCCUACUGGAUCUGCAAUGCAACCUGAAAGGAUCUGCCGAGACAAAGCAGUAACUGGGAUAUUUGUGGGUGUGCCUGCACACAAGACGUACCAUUUAAGAGUAAUCAUAGUAAAAAUAAUAAUGAUCAAGUUUAGAAAAUAGUAGUUGGAGUUAAUUUUCCUAAGCAGUUGGGAGUCACUGUUGUUACUCAGACCAAAGGAAAAAAAAAAGGCAUAUUUUCUUGCUUCUCUCUCCAUUUCUUCAUGCACAGAGGAAUUAGGUGAUCUGAGCUUUACAGGGCAAGAAGGCUCUGAGCAGCUGUCUCUGAGUGUCCUUCCUGUUUCCAGAUGCAGGCGAACAAGUGAAGAGUGAAUUCACACUUUAGAGAACAGUGAAGACCAUCUUGCCAUGAAACCAUUCACAGAUGAAGAUGUAGAAAUCUACAUCCAGAGCAAGGUGGAGCCACGCCAUUAUCUGGUUUCCAAAACAGUGGAGGAGGUGCAGAAAAUCAUCCAGCAACUGACCACAGAAAUCAGCUAUAAGGCCACACGAUUCCAGGCUAUCUCCAACUCUGGCAUUCACAAUGAGAAUAUUAAGGAUCAGCCAGCCUUACUGGCCAAGUGGUCAGCUCUGCUGCGGGGAAAGCGCCCGUUCCACCCGUCCAUCCAGGUCUUAGCACCCAGCCAAUUCCUCAUCACAGUCCCUCUGCGUGGUCUGACCGGGUACAGGGAAUGCCAGGUCCGACACUGGCGUUAUUACACCGUGCACGGAACCAAGCUACUCUCCUCUGUGCGAGACCCUGAGGAGCUGCAUCAAUGGCUCGAGGUGGAACAGUUCUCAAAAAGCCUUCAGCAGUGGCAUGAAACAGAUGUGAACAUUGAAGGUGAUCUGGUUCCAGCCAAAGUCCUUACCGUCUUCCGAGAGCUGGUGGAAAAGUCAAUUGUUUCCUGUAAUCUCUCCAAUAAAGUGACGGUGCUGGAGAGCUUCAGCUCAGUGGUCAGGGUGGCUGUGGAAACAUCAGAAUUCCCGGUUGAGGUGGAGCUGGCCCCUACCGUGGAGAUUCCAACUUGCUGGCCCGAGAAAGCUCGGUGGCCUCGUUGCCUCAAGCGUUGGCCGUCCCAGGAGAAAGUGCAGUGCAUCAAGUCACUUGGAUUUGACCUCUUGGCCCGCUCCAAUUAUCACUGGCAACUGUGCUUCUCCCGUGCUGAGCAUAUACUCAUGGAAGGCCUCGAUGAAGAUGGUGGUUGUCGCAUGAAAUGCUUCAGAGUCAUGAGGCAGAUGAAGGAAGAUGUCUGGUGUGCUGGAAAUAAGCCUGUCAUCACAGCUUAUCACCUUCAGACAGUGCUAUUCUGGACGUGCGAAAAAUACCCACGCACCAAGGAUUGGCGCUGCUUUCAUGAAGCCUUCCUGAGGCUGGUGCAGAAGCUGCACAAGUGUGUGAGCCAGCACUUCCUCAAGCAUUACUUUGUCAAGAACACCAAUCUGCUCAAAUAUGCCAACACCAGUGACCUGGACGUGGUGGCCAGCAAGCUCGCUGUCUUCUUAGAGAACCCUGUCUUCUGCCUGGACUAAGGCAGGAAAAAGCUUCCUCACCUCAACUUUGAGCAGUUUCCCCACCUCUUCUCCUCAUUGAUGGUGUUCUUGUCCUUCCAGUAGGUGUUGCAGCUGGCUUUCUGAGGCAGUUGGCAUCGAUGGCAUGAACAAAAUGUCAAGAUUGCAGUGGUGGGUGGUGAAAACUGAUGGAAGGCAUUGCUUGAUGCCCAGCCGAUCUAAUUUGCUUUCAACAGCAACAGCUUGCCUGGAAGCUACAGCCCGUGAAACCCAACCCUGUGUCAGUCAGAGCAGCAACUGCCUUGUUCUCUGCCUCCAGCUUUGUGGCACAUAAGCAGAAAGAUGGUGCAAAUAAGUUUCACUCUGCUGCCUACCCACUGUGCAACCUAGCACAUGGAUGGUGGCUGCCUCCUCCUUCCUCACAAGGACAGUGAGUUUAAUUCAUAGGAUCAUAGAGUGGCCUGGGUUGGAAGGGACCCUAAAGAUCAUUCCCUGACAACCUUGUAGGCCAGCUCUGCAGAAGAGCAGAGGAACAUUAUUUUGGAAGUAUGCUAAAGGCGGAAGCCUUCUAUGAGACAGUUUGUGAUGCCUCCAUCUACAGUCAAAUGGGAUCCUGCUCCUGUACAAAGAUAACCCUGCCAAUAGUGUUGAAUAGCUCAAGGGAAGCAGGAUGAAGAAUGCUGUUUUCUUCUUGCCUCCUCAUUUUUUUUUCUCCUCUACCUCCAUUUUUCUUCCUGUUACUUCAAGUAUAUUUUUCUUCAUGUUUGCCAGUCUUGUUAGUGCCAUACAAACAGGGGGCUUGCCCAGAGCUGAUUUCACUUGCACCCCUGGCUCCACCCAGCAGGCUGGAGGAGGAGCACGUCUUUCCCUAGUCUUAAACACCCAUGUCUUUCUGGGGCGUUGCAUAGGAGGAGAAUAUUUUUUCAAGGGCUCGUAGCUCCAACAUUCCCAGCGCUUUUAAUAUUAAGUAAAUCAGUUUUAGUGUUUCAAAAAGAACCAAGUGCUAGAAUGAGUAAAAUGAGUGUUGGUUUUAAUUGUAAUUAAAUCUCUGAAACUACACCAAAGUGCACUUUUUUCUUACGCCUGUGAAAGAAAGUAAAUAAGCAUGUUCUUAGCCCAGGGAGAUGAAGUAGUAAGGAUGGGAUGUGCAGCCCUACUCCUGGGAGCCGCUGUGGUGAGUGGCCAUCUGUGGCAGAGCAUCUCCCCCGUGUGUUUAAUUGUGGUCUUACCAUUCAUCUUCAGCACAGUCCCCGCUCUCUGGCUUGGUUCUGUACGCAGGAUUAACUUGCAGGAGUUACCUUGCAUUUGGGAGCUGUGCUAUGUGGGAGUGUUGGUCCCAGGCUCACGACUGGUUACAGGUUCAGGAAGGAUUCAGGAAAGGAUGAAGACAUCCUCACCUAUCCAACUUCUAGGAUACUUCUCUCUCCUUGGUCAACAACCUGGAAGACAAGAGAAGCAGACAGAUGGAGAAGAAAGAGGAUGAAUAGUACCUUCCUUCUUGGCUACUCACAGCUUUGUCUGGUUUUUCCCACUUGUCUGGUUUUUCCAAAAUCAUAGAAUCAAAAAGGCUGGAAAAGACCACUAAGAUGAUCUAGUCCAACCACCAACCCAUCCUCACCAUGCCGACUAACACAUGUUCCUCAGGACCACACCUACACGUUUCUUGAACACCUCCACAGGCGGUGACUCCACCACAUCCUUGGGCAGCCUGUUCCAAUGGCUCACCACUUUGUUUCUGAGAAGAAAUUUUUCCUAAUAUCCAGAAGAAUCAUAGAAAAAGACCACUAACAUCAUCUAUUCCAACCAUCAUCCCCAAAAGCAUUCCCAGACUCUCUACUCCCUGGCUAUACUCUGUUAGACAGGGCAUGAACACACUGCAAGCUUCAGCCCACCUCUGAGAGCCUUCACAGACUGGCUAGGGCUCAAGGUGGGCCUAGCAGAACAUUCAACCUGUAUUUUGACCUGCUGAGCACGGCCUUUUAGUGCAGGUCAUGCUGUGCAUCCUUAGCUGGGAAACAGAGAAAGAUGUGACUGGUGUUGUGUGGCUGCAUGGGGCAAAAGGGUGGCUUGUCCAAGGGGCAGAGGGUGGGAGAGGCUGCUGGGCUUUGCUGACCUGAGAAACUCUUCUCUGAGCCUGUGGCUGCUCCUGUCUGCAGAAAAGCUGCUGCUGCUGAUUGUGACACUGUGCUGCUCUCUCUGCUGUUAUUUGAUAUUCUUAAUGGAUAUGAGUUUCUAUA